rnacentral:rRNA from 1 species
AACGUAGGAGGCGAGCGUUAUCCGGAUUUACUGGGCGUAAAGCGCACGCAGGCGGCCGAGUGAGUCGGACGUGAAAGCUCCUGGCUUAACUGGGAGAGGCCGUUCGAUACUGCUCGGCUUGAGGUUGGGAGAGGGGUGCGGAAUUCCCGGUGUAGUGGUGGAAUGCGUAGAUAUCGGGAGGAACACCAGUGGCGAAGGCGGCACCCUGGCCCACACCUGACGCUGAGGUGCGAAAGCGUGGGUAGCAAACAGG